rnacentral:rRNA from 1 species
UCGGUGUAGCAAUACAUCGAGUGUGGAGCGGCGCAAGGGUGCGUAACACGUGGGUAAUUUGCCGUGAAGUUGGGGAUAACUCGCUGAAAGGCGAGCUAAUACCGAAUGUGGUUUUUGGAAGGCAUCUUCUGACAACUGAAGCUGGGGAUCGUAAGACCUGGCGCUUCAUGAUAAGCCCGCGGCCUAUCAGCUAGUUGGUGAGGUAACGGCUCACCAAGGCUAAGACGGGUAGCUGGUCUGAGAGGACGACCAGCCACACUGGAACUGAGACACGGUCCAGACACCUACGGGUGGCAGCAGUCGAGAAUUUUUCUCAAUGGGCGCAAGCCUGAAGGAGCGACGCCGCGUGGGGGAUGAAGGGUUUCGAUCCGUAAACCCCUGUCAUUCGUGAACAAUGGUUACGAUUGAAUAUUUCGUGACUUGAUAGUAACGGAAGAGGAAGGGACGGCUAACUCUGUGCCAGCAGCCGCGGUAAUACAGAGGUCCCGAGCGUUGUUCGGAUUCACUGGGCGUAAAGGGUGCGUAGGUGGCCUAAAAAGUUUGAUGUGAAAGCUCAGGGCUUAACCCUGAAAUGGCAUUGAAUACUGUUGGGCUGGAGGUUUGGAGAGGGGACUGGAAUUCUCGGUGUAGCA